rnacentral:rRNA from 1 species
GACGUAGGGUGCAAGCGUUGUCCGGAAUUAUUGGGCGUAAAGAGCUCGUAGGCGGUUUGUCGCGUCUGCUGUGAAAACUCGGGGCUCAACUCCGAGCUUGCAGUGGGUACGGGCAGACUAGAGUGCGGUAGGGGAGACUGGAAUUCCUGGUGUAGCGGUGGAAUGCGCAGAUAUCAGGAGGAACACCGGUGGCGAAGGCGGGUCUCUGGGCCGUAACUGACGCUGAGGAGCGAAAGCAUGGGGAGCGAACAGG